rnacentral:lncRNA from 1 species
GUACUUUAAACAAAUUAUUAUUAAAAAAAAAUACAUACAAAAUUACAAAAAAUAGUAUUGUCUUUUUCAAAACGAAUAAUUAGUGUUUAGCCCUUUCACCGAUGAGUCCCGGUUUACUUUUUUGACAUAAAAUGUCAUUUUAUGAACAAAACACUUGGAAUGGACAUAGUUCAGUGUGAGGAAUUUGUACACUGCCUCAUAAAAUUUUUCAAAAUUUUGCUGUUUUGGGUUAAAAAAUUAUGAUCUGGGGUCAAAGAGCAGAAUUUUGAGAAUUUCACCUAGAUAAUGCCGAAAAUUUGAAUAUUUUAUGAAGAAAAAAUUAUCAAAACAUGAACAAAACUGUGAACAUGGUGUUAGUGAAUGAAAUAAAUACACAAAUAACUACAAACAAGUUUUUAUUGACAUUUAUUAUGAAGAUCUCCCACUGGAGUAAUAGUAGCCAGGGAAGCCAUCGUCUCAGAGUAGCUUCUGUCUGGGCAGCAAUCGGUGAAAGGAUUAGUCAAGCAAUUAUGAAAAGGAAAAUAACUGUUUAAGAGAGUUUUUUUUGUUUGGCAAAUAAUAUUUUACUUUUAUUCACCAGACUUUACAUGAUGGUAAAUUUUCAAAUCUGACCAUAUGAAUGGAGCUGCUCCCUACUACCCAGAAAAUUUUCACCUAUGCUUUUCAUUACUCAUUCUCACUUUUUUAUAAAAAAAAUAUAUAAAUAACCUUACAAAGAUUUUUAUAAAUAAAUUUGGUCAAUUAUUUCUGGAUUUACAAUUAUUUGAAUGUGAAAAAAGACAUAUCAAGUUAACCUUACCUCAGAAAGCUCUAAUAUUCAAAUUCUUUUACUAUACUGCCACUGAAAAUCUUUAAAUAUAUUGAUAUCUUUGUUUUGGUUUUUUGAAUGUGUGCCUAUUAUAGUAUAUAGUAAUAAUACCAUAAGUAUAUAUGUUUUUUUUUUCUUGGCAAACAAAAGUUUCAUCAACAGCAGUUUGUUAGAUGUUGUAGCAUAUAACUCAUAAUGUUAUAAGUUUCUUUUUUCUUCUCUUUUGAGGAUCUACAUGUAUAAAAAUUUAUGAAUUAUUGUUUGAAUAUUUUCUACUUCUAAGCUACUUCAGAGGAUUUU